rnacentral:tRNA from 1 species
GCCGGUGUGGCUCAGUGGAUAGAGCAUCAGCCUGUGGACUGAAGGGUCCCAGGUUCAAUUCUGGCCAAGGGCA